GGCCUGGUGGUGGAAAGGCAGACACGCUAGUUUCAGGUACUAGUGAGAGCAAUCUCGUGUGGGUUCGAAUCCCACUCAGGCCA
rnacentral:tRNA from 1 species